rnacentral:rRNA from 1 species
GAUGAACGCUGGCGGCGUGCCUAAUACAUGCAAGUCGAGCGAACAGAUAAGGAGCUUGCUCCUUUGACGUUAGCGGCGGACGGGUGAGUAACACGUGGGUAACCUACCUAUAAGACUGGGAUAACUUCGGGAAACCGGAGCUAAUACCGGAUAAUAUUUCGAACUGCAUGGUUCGAUAGUGAAAGAUGGUUUUGCUAUCACUUAUAGAUGGACCCGCGCCGUAUUAGCUAGUUGGUAAGGUAACGGCUUACCAAGGCGACGAUACGUAGCCGACCUGAGAGGGUGAUCGGCCACACUGGAACUGAGACACGGUCCAGACUCCUACGGGAGGCAGCAGUAGGGAAUCUUCCGCAAUGGGCGAAAGCCUGACGGAGCAAAACCGCGUGAGUGAUGAAGGUCUUCGGAUCGUAAAACUCUGUUAUUAGGGAAGAACAUACGUGUAAGUAACUGUGCACGUCUUGACGGUACCUAAUCAGAAAGCCACGGCUAACUACGUG